rnacentral:rRNA from 1 species
UUAAGCGACUAAGCGUACACGGUGGAUGCCCUGGCAGUCAGAGGCGAUGAAGGACGUGCUAAUCUGCGAUAAGCGUCGGUAAGGUGAUAUGAACCGUUAUAACCGGCGAUUUCCGAAUGGGGAAACCCAGUGUGUUUCGACACACUAUCAUUAACUGAAUCCAUAGGUUAAUGAGGCGAACCGGGGGAACUGAAACAUCUAAGUACCCCGAGGAAAAGAAAUCAACCGAGAUUCCCCCAGUAGCGGCGAGCGAACGGGGAGCAGCCCAGAGCCUGAAUCAGUGUGUGUGUUAGUGGAAGCGUCUGGAAAGGCGCGCGAUACAGGGUGACAGCCCCGUACACAAAAAUGCACAUGCUGUGAGCUCGAUGAGUAGGGCGGGACACGUGGUAUCCUGUCUGAAUAUGGGGGGACCAUCCUCCAAGGCUAAAUACUCCUGACUGACCGAUAGUGAACCAGUACCGUGAGGGAAAGGCGAAAAGAACCCCGGCGAGGGGAGUGAAAAAGAACCUGAAACCGUGUACGUACAAGCAGUGGGAGCACGCUUAGGCGUGUGACUGCGUACCUUUUGUAUAAUGGGUCAGCGACUUAUAUUCUGUAGCAAGGUUAACCGAAUAGGGGAGCCGAAGGGAAACCGAGUCUUAACUGGGCGUUAAGUUGCAGGGUAUAGACCCGAAACCCGGUGAUCUAGCCAUGGGCAGGUUGAAGGUUGGGUAACACUAACUGGAGGACCGAACCGACUAAUGUUGAAAAAUUAGCGGAUGACUUGUGGCUGGGGGUGAAAGGCCAAUCAAACCGGGAGAUAGCUGGUUCUCCCCGAAAGCUAUUUAGGUAGCGCCUCGUGAAUUCAUCUCCGGGGGUAGAGCACUGUUUCGGCAAGGGGGUCAUCCCGACUUACCAACCCGAUGCAAACUGCGAAUACCGGAGAAUGUUAUCACGGGAGACACACGGCGGGUGCUAACGUCCGUCGUGAAGAGGGAAACAACCCAGACCGCCAGCUAAGGUCCCAAAGUCAUGGUUAAGUGGGAAACGAUGUGGGAAGGCCCAGACAGCCAGGAUGUUGGCUUAGAAGCAGCCAUCAUUUAAAGAAAGCGUAAUAGCUCACUGGUCGAGUCGGCCUGCGCGGAAGAUGUAACGGGGCUAAACCAUGCACCGAAGCUGCGGCAGCGACGCUUAUGCGUUGUUGGGUAGGGGAGCGUUCUGUAAGCCUGCGAAGGUGUGCUGUGAGGCAUGCUGGAGGUAUCAGAAGUGCGAAUGCUGACAUAAGUAACGAUAAAGCGGGUGAAAAGCCCGCUCGCCGGAAGACCAAGGGUUCCUGUCCAACGUUAAUCGGGGCAGGGUGAGUCGACCCCUAAGGCGAGGCCGAAAGGCGUAGUCGAUGGGAAACAGGUUAAUAUUCCUGUACUUGGUGUUACUGCGAAGGGGGGACGGAGAAGGCUAUGUUGGCCGGGCGACGGUUGUCCCGGUUUAAGCGUGUAGGCUGGUUUUCCAGGCAAAUCCGGAAAAUCAAGGCUGAGGCGUGAUGACGAGGCACUACGGUGCUGAAGCAACAAAUGCCCUGCUUCCAGGAAAAGCCUCUAAGCAUCAGGUAACAUCAAAUCGUACCCCAAACCGACACAGGUGGUCAGGUAGAGAAUACCAAGGCGCUUGAGAGAACUCGGGUGAAGGAACUAGGCAAAAUGGUGCCGUAACUUCGGGAGAAGGCACGCUGAUAUGUAGGUGAGGUCCCUCGCGGAUGGAGCUGAAAUCAGUCGAAGAUACCAGCUGGCUGCAACUGUUUAUUAAAAACACAGCACUGUGCAAACACGAAAGUGGACGUAUACGGUGUGACGCCUGCCCGGUGCCGGAAGGUUAAUUGAUGGGGUUAGCGCAAGCGAAGCUCUUGAUCGAAGCCCCGGUAAACGGCGGCCGUAACUAUAACGGUCCUAAGGUAGCGAAAUUCCUUGUCGGGUAAGUUCCGACC